rnacentral:lncRNA from 1 species
AAUAAUGUUGACCAUAUCAUAGUGUUUGAGCACAGGGAGAAAUAAAUCUUUUAGGAGGAGGUAAUUUUCUCUUGUAAGUUUGAUGGGGAGGAGGUUGGGGACGUGUUGAGGAGCAAUUUGUGGAAUCAAAGGAACGGGAUCAGAAGAGGAGCUCUAGGGAUGUCCGAAAGUGGUUGGUAUGAAACCUUAUACAUUUGAAGCAACACCUCAAGCAAAUGAUUUCUGUAAGCCGACCAGAACUGAACGGAAGUAGUUAUACAUGAGUGGCUUCUUGGAUGAACAAGCUUUAUUUUUCCACUGCCGAUCCACCAAAUUGGGUCAAAGCUUUAUUCUCAAUCCCCUCUCUCACACUCUAAUUCUUCAGUCUCUCAAUCUGAGAGUUUUGGUAAGUAUGUUCAACAACAUUUUAAACCCUCAAAUUUCAUAAUUUGUUUGAAAUUUGCUAGCCAAUCUUUUUUGGUUCAGAAAAUAUGAAUUGUGAAUCUGCUUUUUCAUGCUCAGGGUUUAGAUUAUGUCUUUAUUGUUGAGAAAAUAUGAAUUUGUAGGGACCACAUGGCUGAAAAUGUUAGACAUGCUUGCUGGUUCAGAAACUGUGGAUUCAAUCUCUCUUGCUCAUGAUGUUUUCAUGCACUCAUAUUAGUUAUAGGGAUGAGAUAUGGCUCAAUAAGUCAGAUAUUCUUCUUGUUUCAAUCUGCUAUUUCAUGCACUGAAUAUGUUAGAUAUGUUAUAUAGAUGUAGGUGAACCAGGAGAAGAAGUUGUUGCUUCUAAUCAGCCACCACUUAUACUUAAAUCUACAUCAACAAUUGAUCCCAUAUAUUACGGACAUCAAGUUUGAGAACUCAUUUCUUCGCUCCCCGCCGCUCAGCUUGCAUCGCAUAAGCAAAGCCAAUGGUUUUAAAUAAGGAAAUAAAAUAUUUCUGAUUGUACGUGUUUAAUUAUAUCCUUGCCUUGCACUCGAAGGCUCUUGUAAUUGUUUUGCUUGGCUACAGGUCAUGUCGGCUGAUCUCUUGUAAUGAAAUAUUAUUCUAUUCUUGCUGCAAAUCCUUCAGAGACGAUGAGAUGAAUUCAACAUAAUUGGAUUUCCUAUUUGAUUAGUGCUUCCACUUAUAUGUCCAACCACCUUCACCACCUACUGUUC